rnacentral:lncRNA from 1 species
UUUUCAAAUUUUUCAGAAUUUGAAUUGAAUCUAUUUUUUUAAGAUUUCCACACACAUAAUUUAUAUAAUUCAGUCAACGAAUCGUCGUCAAUGUUAUCGUAGUCAUAAUAUCGGAGUCAAAAUUCAUCCCAUCCUCUUCGUACGACUCGCGUACAAUAAAAAUCAAGUACUAAAAAACAAAAAAAAACAUUUACCGUGAACACAAACUAGAGAGCAACAGAAUAGCCCUCCCCAGAAAA